CCUACGGGAGGCAGCAGUGGGGAAUAUUGCACAAUGGGGGAAACCCUGAUGCAGCGACGCCGCGUGAGUGAAGAAGUAAUUCGUUAUGUAAAGCUCUAUCAGCAGGGCAGAAAAUGACGGUACCCGAGUAAGUAGCACCGGAUAACUACGUGCCAGCAGCCGUGGUAAUACGUAGGGUGCGAGCGUUAUCCGGAUUUACUGGGUGUAAAGGGGGCGUAGUCGGCAGUGCAAGUCUGGAGUAAAAGGCGGGGGCUCAACCUCGGACUGCUCUGGAAACUGUACGGCUGGAGUGAAGGAGAGGUAAGUGGAAUUCCGGGUGUAGCGGUGAAAUGCGUAGAUAUUAGGAAGAACACCGGUGGCGAAGGCAGCUUACUGGACUGUAACUGACGCUGAGGCUCGAAAGCGUGGGGAGCAAACAGGAUUAGAUACCCUUGUAGUC
rnacentral:rRNA from 1 species